UACGUAGGGUGCGAGCGUUGUCCGGAAUUACUGGGCGUAAAGAGCUCGUAGGUGGUUUGUCGCGUUGUUCGUGAAAACUCACAACUCAAUUGUGGGCGUGCGGGCGAUACGGGCAGACUGGAGUACUGCAGGGGAGACUGGAAUUCCUGGUGUAGCGGUGGAAUGCGUAGAUAUCAGGAGGAACACCGGUGGCGAAGGCGGUUCUCUGGGCAUGUCCUGACGCUGAGGAGCGAAAGUGUGGGGAGCGAACAGG
rnacentral:rRNA from 1 species